rnacentral:rRNA from 1 species
AACGAACGCUGGCGGCAGGCCUAACACAUGCAAGUCGAGCGAGGACUUCGGUCCUAGCGGCGGACGGGUGAGUAACGCGUGGGAACGUGCCCUUUGCUUCGGAAUAGCCCUGGGAAACUGGGAGUAAUACCGGAUGAGCCCUUUGGGGGAAAGAUUUAUCGGCGAAGGAUCGGCCCGCGUUGGAUUAGGUAGUUGGUGGGGUAAUGGCCUACCAAGCCGACGAUCCAUAGCUGGUUUGAGAGGAUGAUCAGCCACACUGGGACUGAGACACGGCCCAGACUCCUACGGGAGGCAGCAGUGGGGAAUCUUAGACAAUGGGGGAAACCCUGAUCUAGCCAUGCCGCGUGAGCGGUGAAGGCCUUAGGGUUGUAAAGCUCUUUCAGCUGGGAAGAUAAUGACGGUACCAGCAGAAGAAGCCCCGGCUAACUCCGUG